UACGUAGGGUCCGAGCGUUGUCCGGAAUUACUGGGCGUAAAGAGCUCGUAGGUGGUUUGUCGCGUUGUUCGUGAAAACUCACAGCUCAACUGUGGGCGUGCGGGCGAUACGGGCAGACUGGAGUACUGCAGGGGAGACUGGAAUUCCUGGUGUAGCGGUGAAAUGCGCAGAUAUCAGGAGGAACACCGAUGGCGAAGGCAGGUCUCUGGGCCACUACUGACGCUGAGGUGCGAAAGCUAGGGGAGCAAACGGG
rnacentral:rRNA from 1 species